rfam:TPA: Bos taurus chromosome 14, whole genome shotgun sequence.
UUCCUGGUGGCUCAGACAGUAAAGAAUCUGCCUGUAAUGCAGGAGAUCCAGGUUCGAUGCCUGGUUGGAAAG